ACCCUCUUCCCUUUCCCAUGGAAUCUGAAUGCUCGUCUUGUGGAUGUAAAGGAAGGAAAGUGAUACUGAAGCUAACUUAUGCACUGCAUUGCAGUCUGUCAUAGCAUACGUGCUCAUUUCAAACAGGA
rnacentral:snoRNA from 1 species